rnacentral:snRNA from 1 species
AUACCUUUCUCGGCCUUUUGGCUAAGAUCAAGUGUAGUAUCUGUUCUUAUCAGUUUAAUAUCUGAUAUGUGGUCCAUCGGGCCACACGAUAUUAACUCUAUUUUUUAAGGGAGGAGACCCAUUAAGAUAGCUUGCUAUCUGGGCUUUCAUGAGUCGCCCAUGCGUUGCACUUCUGCAAGGGCCUGGCUCAACCCGC